CCCCGCCUAGCUCAAUGGUAGAGCGCGCGGCUGUAGACCGCGAGGUUCCUGGUUCAAGUCCGGGGGCGGGGA
rnacentral:tRNA from 1 species